GAUGAACGCUGGCGGCGUGCCUAAUACAUGCAAGUCGAGCGAACAGAUGAGGAGCUUGCUCCUCUUACAUUAGCGGCGGACGGGUGAGUAACACGUGGGUAACCUACCUAUAAGACUGGGAUAACUUCGGGAAACCGGAGCUAAUACCGGAUAAUAUAUUGAACCGCAUGGUUCAAUAUUGAAAGACGGUUUUGCUGUCACUUAUAGAUGGAUCCGCGCCGCAUUAGCUAGUUGGUAAGGUAACGGCUUACCAAGGCAACGAUGCGUAGCCGACCUGAGAGGGGGACCGGCCACACUGGAACUGAGACACGGUCCAGACUCCUACGGGAGGAAGCAGUAGGGAAUCUUCCGCAAUGGGCGAAAGCCUGACGGAGCAACGCCGCGUGAGUGAUGAAGGUCUUCGGAUCGUAAAACUCUGUUAUUAGGGAAGAACAAAUGUGUAAGUAACUAUGCACGUCUUGACGGUACCUAAUCAGAAAGCCACGGCUAACUACGUG
rnacentral:rRNA from 1 species